AUAAAGUCAUGUUGCCAUGAGCACCGCUUGUUAGUGCCAUGUGUUGGGAAUGAGACACACUGGAAGCAGAAUCAAACAGCAGAUGGGGAGGCGUGGGCCCGUGACAUGGACUCCUUGGGGAUGUAGAAGAGAGUGCAGGUGACAGAGUGCAUACCUCCUUCCUGUAAAACACUUCUUCGGCUGUCAUCUCUUCUUCAACAAAGUCAUUUAUUUGGGGCUGUGCAGUCAUUUAGAGGACACUUUUCUGCGGCGCAUCUCUGGAUGACUUUGUAAA
rnacentral:lncRNA from 1 species